rnacentral:sRNA from 1 species
GUCAGUAACUCAGGGCUAAAGCCACUGAGCUUGUAAGAGCAAGUCUCAAAGCAAGCUAUUCUGACCAGCCUAAGUCUUAACGACUACGUUAUUUGGGUCACGACACCCCGGAAUCCGAAGCUAGUUCCCUGCUCUGUCGUUUGCAAUUAAACAGUUCUAAAGUCACUGGAACAGUGUUGCAAGCCUAACAAGCCCUUAUAACAUUGGCGAAGCUAACAUUACCCCGCAAGGG